UGCAGGGUAGAUAACUGGCACGGGCGUAGAGGAUUUUCCUCCACGCCCGUGCACGCAUGUGGAGCCGGAUACAGGCU
rnacentral:sRNA from 1 species